rnacentral:rRNA from 1 species
CAGUAGCCGCGGGAAUACGUAGGUGGCAAGCGUUGUCCGGAAUUAUUGGGCGUAAAGCGCGCGUAGGUGGUUUAAUAAGUCUGAUGUGAAAGCCCACGGCUCAACCGUGGAGGGUCAUUGGAAACUGUUAAACUUGAGUGCAGGAGAGAAAAGUGGAAUUCCUAGUGUAGCGGUGAAAUGCGUAGAGAUUAGGAGGAACACCAGUGGCGAAGGCGGCUUUUUGGCCUGUAACUGACACUGAGGCGCGAAAGCCAGGGGAGCGAACGGGAUUAGAUACCCGCGUAGUCCCUGUCUCUUAUAC